AUUGAACGCUGGCGGCAGGCCUAACACAUGCAAGUCGAGCGGAUGAAGGGAGCUUGCUCCUGGAUUCAGCGGCGGACGGGUGAGUAAUGCCUAGGAAUCUGCCUGGUAGUGGGGGAUAACGCCCGGAAACGGGCGCUAAUACCGCAUACGUCCUGAGGGAGAAAGUGGGGGAUCUUCGGACCUCACGCUAUCAGGUGAGCCUAGGUCGGAUUAGCUAGUUGGUGGGGUAAAGGCCUACCAAGGCGACGAUCCGUAACUGGUCUGAGAGGAUGAUCAGUCACACUGGAACUGAGACACGGUCCAGACUCCUACGGGAGGCAGCAGUGGGGAAUAUUGGACAAUGGGCGAAAGCCUGAUCCAGCCAUGCCGCGUGUGUGAAGAAGGUCUUCGGAUUGUAAAGCACUUUAAGUUGGGAGGAAGGGCAGUAAGUUAAUACCUUGCUGUUUUGACGUUACCAACAGAAUAAGCACCGGCUAACUUCGUG
rnacentral:rRNA from 1 species